UAGACUUUGACCAGAUACUAUUGCAUCUAAAGAUCAACUGUACCUAGAACAUAGAUACAGAGCCACUUGUCAUCAGGAAGCUGCUCUCUCAGCACAACAGAAAAUAUCUCAAUGACUUGACAUGUUCUGGUUGUGAAUUCAGGCUACAAGGGGUCAGUGCUCUAAAAUGAGUCUCUCUGGGGAGAGAGAGGAGGGGGCCCCUGCCUCUAAAAUGAGUCUCUCUGGAGAACAUGACACAAAAGCUAAGAGUCCGAUCAAGCAGGAGAGACCAGCCUCCCCUGUACCCAGCUGUGUGUCCAUGAAGAGUGACCGGUCAAUGGAUAAAUUUAUAGACUUCAGAGAGGGAGAUUAUUCUACUGAACAAAGAAACCAACAGGAGAGAUCAGAGUCAGAGAUUCUCAGUGGUCAGUCUUCCCAGAGUCAUCAAACAGACCUGGACUCUAUAUUCAAU